rnacentral:tRNA from 1 species
GCCGGGGUGACUGAGCGGUUAGGUGGUCGGCUGCAGACCGGCUUUACUUGGGUUCGAAUCCCAACCCCGGCA